CACUCUUGGUUUCCAUUUUUAAGCAAAGACACCGAGGCUCACAGACAGGAAGGAAGGCGCCCAAGUGACAGAAAGAAAAUGCAAGGCCCGUGGACCCAGCUUCUAAGCUGCCCUUUUCAUUUUUCACUGGUUGACGCUGAACGUAGAAAACUCGUACCUUGAGUUGGGAUGCUAACGACAGACACGGCAAAGCCAGCUUGUGUCAACAUCUCACUCACGGAGAAAAGGAAAUGAAGAAAGACAGUGGUGGACCUUCUUCUAGGAGUUGGUGAAUCAUGGGAAAGCUUUCCCAUUUUUUUUUUUUAAUUUGAAAAACAUUCCAGUUUACAGAGAAGGGGCAGUACAGCUGCUGGAGAUUUUGGAAUGCUCUGGGUGUUGGCUCCAAGAAAGAACAGACCCACCCACCUGGGACUGCUGCGACAAGGCCCAUGCGUGCACCUCUAUGAACCCCUGCAGCCCGCCGCACCCCGUGGCAGUAGGGCCCAGCUCCCCCGUCCCCUCGGCCACCGCCUAGAAUCCUAAUGGGCUUGGGGACCACCUGUCUGUCCCUAGGUAUCGACUCCUUUGACUCAGCCUGUAAAGACAAAAGAUGACAAAGUGACUCGUGAAUGAUUAAAACCUCCAUAUGGUUGGGAUGGCAUAGUUUCUAAUUGUUUUCUUUUAGACAACAUCCGUGUCACAGGCACCCUUCUGAGACCAUAACGCCCCUCCACAGCCCCUCAUACCUGUUGCCUAGCAUACCACAGUGAUCAGCGAAUGCGUUUGGAUGAGGAGGUGCCUCACCACCAGCCCUCUGGCCACCGCGGCUCAGGUUGUUCAGAGGCUUGCAGCCUUCCGAGCAAAGCUGGCUUUCUUGGCUCCCUUCCUUGUGCCAGUGUGAUUUCCACGCUGGACCUUCAGUGAAACACCCAGAAAGGGCCCUCCUCCCCUUGAGUCAUUGUGAAACGAAGAGCUCCCCAGCGAGGACAGCCCUUGUGGCCACUUGGAUAAAAUUCACACCUAUGUCCACUCGUUUUCCUUCUGUAGAAUAAAAUAAU